UACGGAGGGUGCAAGCGUUAAUCGGAAUUACUGGGCGUAAAGCGUGCGCAGGCGGUUCUAUAAGACAGAUGUGAAAUCCCCGGGCUCAACCUGGGAAUGGCAGUGGAUACUGGACGGCUAGAGUGCGGUAGAGGGUAGUGGAAUUCCCGGUGUAGCAGUGAAAUGCGUAGAGAUCGGGAGGAACACCAGCGGCGAAGGCGGCUACCUGGACC
rnacentral:rRNA from 1 species